AUUCCAGCUCCAAUAGCGUAUAUUAAAGUUGUUGCAGUUAAAAAGCUCGUAGUUGGAUUUCUGGGAGGGUGCCAAUGUCCGUCGUCGUACGUGUUGCAGCGGCGCCCUUCCAUCCUUCUGUUAACGACUUUGGGCAUUCACUUGCCGGAGUCGGGCUCAGAUAUUUUACCUUGAGAAAAUUAGAGUGUUUCAGGCAGGCUAGGCCGGAAUACAUUAGCAUGGAAUAAUGGAAUAGGACUACGGUCUCUUUGUUGGUUUGAGGGACUGCAGUAAUGAUUAAUAGGGAUAGUUGGGGGCAUUAGUAUUUAAUUGUCAGAGGUGAAAUUCUUGGAUUUAUGAAAGACGAACUUCUGCGAAAGCAUUUACCAAAGAUGUUUUCAUUG
rnacentral:rRNA from 1 species